rnacentral:rRNA from 1 species
UACGUAGGGUGCAAGCGUUAAUCGGAAUUACUGGGCGUAAAGCGUGCGCAGGCGGCUUUGCAAGACAGAUGUGAAAUCCCCGGGCUCAACCUGGGAACUGCAUCCGAGACUGCAUUGCUAGAGUAUGGGAGAGGGAAGCGGAAUUUCUGGUGUAGCAGUGAAAUGCGUAGAUAUCAGAAGGAACAUCAGUGGCGAAGGCGGCUUCCUGGACCAAUACUGACGAUCAAGGUGGCGAAAGCGUGGGGAGCAAACAGG